rnacentral:rRNA from 1 species
UACGGGGGGGGCAAGCGUUGUCCGGAUUUACUGGGCGUAAAGAGCGUGUAGGCGGCCAAGCAGGUCCGUUGUGAAAACUGGAGGCUUAACCUCCAGACGUCGACGGAAACCGCGUGGCUAGAGUCCGGGAGAGGAGAGUGGAAUUCCUGGUGUAGCGGUGAAAUGCGCAGAUAUCAGGAAGAACACCAAUGGCGAAGGCAGCUCUCUGGGACGGUACUGACGCUGAGACGCGAAAGCGUGGGGAGGGAACAGG